AGAAAUGUGGCGGCGACAGCAGCAACCAGUAGUAGCAAAAAAGCUGCAGUUACUGCAACUGGAGAUGGGUACAAGGAUGGGACUCAGAAGAAGAUUUGUUGGUAAGGUGGUUCCUGGUACCACUGGCACAUUACCCCGCACUUCCCCUGCUGCCCUGCCUUCCAAAGAGAUUCGUCAAUGUGUUUCUCCCCUCCACCUGCCUUUGCUGGAGUGGAGGCAAGGGAGGAAGAGUGUGGUAUGUGCAGCUUAGCUGGUUCCCACAGUUGCGUAUCAGCAUGGAAACAACUCUUCUGCUCUCAUAUACUCAAAGUGACUUUCUGGCGCCUGGUCUUCAAGAAUGUUAAAAGUCAAAGGUGUUGGGAAAGAAGAAGCAAGGCUAUAUGUGUGAAAGAGCAAUUAAAUCAUUUUCUUUUGUGUA